rnacentral:lncRNA from 1 species
UCAAGCCCUCUCUCCAAUAAGCUUCUCACCUAAAGCCUAAAAUAUAUAAAGAUGGGCGCUUAAUACAACGGUGACAUAAGACAUUUUCUUUUUCAGAAAAAGACUACAAGGUUAAAACUAAAACCAUCCAAGUUGAUUUCUCUGGUGGUCAUGAAAUAUAUGAACCAAUUGCCAAGGAGCUUAAGGGCUUUGAGAUUGGUGUUUUGGGUAAGUAAAGAAAAUAUUACCUGAAUUCUGAAGCGCAGAGGAUGAAUCUGGGUUUUGCUUGCGUGAAUUUAACACAGAGAAUGAAUACUGCAUGAUUGUGCUUGCGUGAAUUUAAAGUUGUCAGUAUAUUAAUACGAAAUUUCUUUUCUCGCUCCAAUAUUUUUUUACCACAUUUAGUGCGUUUUUUUCUUCCAAUUUUACCGUAUUUUUAGGGGCAAAUUUAGGGGCAAUUUUAUCGUAUUUUAAGUCCAAAAUCGACAGGACAGUCCAAAUUAGAAACGGAGUCACGUGAUAGCGAUUAGCAUUUUUUAACCGCAAAUUUACAUGUGGAUAAUUAUGAUCCAAUGCGCUUUACAUCAAGUAUUACAUACUUAGCUAAAUUAUUUCAUCUUUACAACAAUUUGAUAUUACUUUCUUAACUAUGUUCAUUCUAAGUACCCUGUCAACUUUCCCUGUGGCAGGAAGUCGGGGCACCACGAGAAAAUCCGCGACUUUCGGCAAAGUGCUGACGGACACUUUUCACAUGAGUUCGUAGCGAGAAACAAAGCCACGAACUCAGUGGUAAAACGCGUUUGUUUUGACGACCACGCCACCGAAAUCUGAGUAGAUGGCUGUGUUGAUAAAGCAGGCGGCUGUGGGAAGAGGUUUAGGGAGUCUGAAAGUCAUUCAAAUUAAGGGACCGUUCAUUAUUUAUUCCCGGGGUUGGUACCGAAGAGAUAUGGGUUGGGUAAUCAAGCUUUUGACUAGCUCAUGGGUUGGGUAAAAAAAUUAUGGCUGUCUGUCAGCUAUAAAAUAAAACCAAAAAUUACCAUGCAUUGGAAAAUAUGAAGAAAAAUGUGUACAAUACAUUCUGUACCAAAAUAGACUAUCAGUGAUUGAGGAAGGACUCUAUCAUUGACCGGCAGGAACGUGAUUGCUUUGGCACACUCAGUGAGUUUGAGUGUGCUUUUAGAAUUUAGGCAACUUGAUUUCUGUCACCAUAAUCUUAUGUGUUUAAUUAUUAUGAAGUACAGUAACACACGGGUUGGGUAAACGUUAUUUUGACAAUUGUUGAGGUUGGGUAAAUAAAAAAUUUACACUAUUUUUUGCUUCUCUUCGGUACCAACCCCAGGUAUAAAUAAUGAACGGUCCCGGCCUAACUAGACAUACGCGGAUAUUGAUUAGAUAGCAACGCAACUGAGUUCUGUAACCAAAUUAUAAUGUAGCUAUUUAUGUACUAUCUUCACUCUUUAAACAAGAUAACUUCAAGAUGGCAAAUAACUAAACCAGUUUUACAAAAAUGUACGUCGUUUUCGAAAAUAACCUGGCUAUUAAAGGUAGACCAGGUUGAGGAAAAACAACUUUGGAUAUUAUUGAUAUUUGAAGUUCUAAACAAAGUAACCGUCGGUGAACCUCGUGGCACCAGCCGUAGCUCUGACGGCCAUGCACCGACUUAUUUUGAAAGCCCUGAUUUUAAUUGGGUAAAGUAAAGAAGAAAUCACCUUGAAGAAAUCACAACUUGCUUCAAGUCAAUCCGUGCAAAACCUCUCUUUUUAGAAACUCUUUUUUUAACCGAAUUGUCUUUCUAUGGAACAAUCUCUCUCCGAUCAUUCGUAACAGUUCGUCUGUUUCAUCCUUUCAGCUCCAGCUCCAUAUUCAGUACUCUUCUCAAUUAGACUCUUCUUUCGAUGCUAACAGAAUGCGCACUUGGAAAACCUACUGCUCUAAAUGCCGUUCUUUCAACUUAUGCCGUUGCUCAUAAUCUAAACUAUUAAUUCUUAUAUAGCUACAGUGUAUGUAAAUAGUGUUCUAGUCCUUGUCUUUAAUGUAUGUCUACUUAUUGUUUUGUAUUAGUUUGGUCUUCACAUGGGACUCAUGUCCUGUUGACCAUACCUCCAAUCAUUGUUAUAAUUUUGAAUCAUGUAAAGUUAAUAAAUAACCUUGGAAUUAAGAAAUCACCUUGGAGUUUGUUUGUUCUCGGCAACCAGUUUUGAGUAUACACUGAAACGAUUUCUGAUUUUUUAUAUAUUUUUGUACAAAACAGGGAAAAUAGUUGAACGAUUAGUUCUUUUAAUUAUACAAUUGCAACGACUCUCCCAAAUAUAUACAGUAUUGUAUGCUAUUUUGCAUUUUGUGAGCUUUGGUUUAUGUAAAAUUUAACGUGAAAAGCUUCGUAAAAUGUUUUGAAAUGUUUAUUCAACUAAUAUAUCUAUAGACAUAUAGCCACGUAGGUAAAAGCAGACGGCCAAGUUUGAUCAAUAUUUCAAAUUGAGAACUCUCUUUAUUGACGUCACAAGGAGGCCCGGUAAGCGCUAUAAUGUCCUGUCCAACUGUUGGUGCUAAGGGACGGACCAUUUGAUUUUUCAUGGGGGGGGCGCAUUUUUGAGAGUGCUCGAUUUUUUUUUGGACCUCACCGACUCCGCACGAUUUUUUUUUAUCGAAUCUUGCCGCGUGCACGAUAUUUUUUUAAAUUUUACCAUAGCGUUAAUACAAUAAUAACCACGUAUGGUUAUAUUCCGGCUGAAGAAUGUAUUUGAAUAUACAGCAUAUAACCACAAAAUAGGAAAGUAUAGCAGAAGUGUAACCCACGAAAAUUUUAACUCGCUCACGCCAUCCUGGCUAGUACAGCCGGACGUUUUUAUCAUGUCUUGAUAGGUACAAAGUGCCGGUUGUACUAGCCAGGAUGGCGUGAUUGAUGACGAAUCGCUUGUAAAAGCGCGGACAAAUACUUGCUUGAGUGAGACUUGUGGUAUACCUUCCUAUUCUAUGAUAUAACUAUCACAGCCCAUUUUAUACUUGGCCCAUUUUAUACGGGGCUAUGGUCUACGAAAUGUAGACCAUAGCCCAAUCAAAAUUGGAUCAAGUGUAUUAAAGUGUGUAACCCAUUUUGCAUUGGCGUAAUGGCAUCUAUAUACAAAUUAUCACGGUUCCCAAUCGUAUCAGUGUUCCCAAUACGUAUUAUAAACUGCGAUUUUUAUCCAGAAUCAGAGAGCGCUAUUAAUGAGCCGGGUGGGAAAGGGUAUUUUUGUGACCCGUGAAUGCAGUGGCGUAGCCACAGGUGUAAGCCUUUUUAGGGGGGUCCGAGGGCAUUCUCCCCCGGGAAAAUUUUGAAAUCUGGAGUCCCUCAAUGGCGAUUUCCCGUGUUUCUGGGGAGAGAUUUUGCAUAAUUCUGAAGAUUAUUUACUGCAGGAAAGACCUGAUUUUUAAUGAUUUCUCAAUAAUGUGGAUCCUUAAUUUGACUCAACGAAGCUUACUUGGUCGCGUGUGAAUAGUUAAAUCGAAGUUUUAAAACGCAUUUUAACCAAUAACCACCAUAGGCAUUAUUUUCUGUAGUUAGAUUUAGGAAAGAUUAGAACUUUUAUAGACAAUUUGGUGAACAGAUGAGAUUGGUAGUCACAUGGGUAGUCAUCGUCCCCCCCCCCCAAUUUCUACCCGGAUUUCAUCUUUUUACAAGGGCAGUCAUUCAGCCUAUUGGGGGUGGGGGCUGAGCCCCCCCCUGUCUACGCCACUGCGUGAAUGGUCAAUACUUGAUCGUGUGAAAUGCUUGAUUUUACUGUCAUGAUCUGUGAUUUGUUCUACAGCCGUGAGGCGUGAUUGUCAUUUGUCGAUAAAAAUGCUUCGUGAAAUGGGAAUUAAAGAUGUCUGUUUCGUGAACUGUGAUUUUGAUUUGUUUAUUCCGAUCUAUUUUAUAAUAGUGAUAAUGGACAUAAUACGCGAUAAUAAUUUAUAUGAUCGAUCUCACUCGAUUGCACAAGAGUAGAAACUUCGGAGGCCUUUCGGAGAUCGUCGGACGUACUCAUCACUCAAACUUGUAAGUAGUUUUCAACUGCCAGGCAGAGAAGAUAACUUAAAGCGUAGUACUGUACCAUGCAUUAAACAUAAUCUUAAAGCUAUUAUUAUUAUAUUAUUUUUAUUAGAGUCUCGUUAUCCGUGAAAUGUGAAAUUGCUUUUUUAUGGCACGUGAAUUGUGAAACUUUUUUUUUGUUGUGAAACGUGAAUCAUACCCCUCCCCCCCUUUCCCACCCUCAUUAAUCGAUGUCGUAUUUACAGAAGUGUGGGACUUUCAGUGUUAAGAUUGGGGUUUUUAGGGAUACCAUUAAGGUAAUUUGUGGAUAAUUGAAUUAUUGAAGUGAAAGUUGUCAGAACUGGUUUGUAUCGGUUUGUAUUUUGCAUGUAUACUUCCGGUAUUGUUAACCAAGGCAGAACCGAAACACUCAACAGAAAAAAACUAAGGGAAACUGAAUUUUUCUUUCAAUAUAGAGUAUUGCUAAUUUAGAAUUUUUUGUGCUCGAUAUUUUUUUUUGCUGGUGUUAGUGAUGUUCGAUUUUUUUUCUUCCAUUCGAGACAUGCUCGAUAUUUUUUUUCGGAUUUGCGCCCCCCCCCCCCAUGAAAAAUCAAAUGGUCCGUCCCUAAUACGUCCCUGCAUGGUUGUAAUCGGUUAGCCAAUCAGAAGACGCAGUGACUUUGUUUAUAAUAACAAAAAGUGUUAAAAAAUCUUACGACCAAUUUCAUCUUAUAAACAUUUUUUUAGUAAACAACGUUGCUGUUGUGUCUUCUGCUGCUUACCUUCACGAAUUAUCAAUCGAGGUCAGUAUUGGUAGUUCACUACCAAAGGGUUCGUAUCAAUAGACAAAUUUGUUUAGCAUUUGUUUAUACACAAUUCACAACUUUAUA